rnacentral:tRNA from 1 species
UCUGUGGCCCACUGGUGUAACCGUUCGACCAACAACUCGGCGGUCCGGGUUCGAUUCCCGUCCA